UACAUGGGGUGCAAGCGUUGCUCGGAAUUAUUGGGCGUAAAGCGCGCGUAGGCGGUUACUCAAGUCGGAUGUGAAAGCCCUCGGCUUAACUGAGGAAGUGCACCCGAAACUGAGUAGCUAGAGUACUAAAGAGGGUCGCGGAAUUCCCGGUGUAGAGGUGAAAUUCGUAGAUAUCGGGAGGAACACCGGCGGCGAAGGCGGCAUCCUGGACCGGUAUUGACGCUGAGGCGCGAAAGCCAGGGGAGCAAACGGG
rnacentral:rRNA from 1 species